AGUCCAACGUGAAAGGGGAGCAAUCCCCCGGUAGGGUGGCAAACGGGUGAGUAAUACAUGGGUGAUCUACCUUAGGGAUGGGGAUAUCCUUCCGAAAGGAGGGGCAAUACCGAAUAUUGUCCGGAGCCGUGAAGGGUUCCGGGGAAAGGGAGGCCUCUGAUACAAGCUUUCGCCUUAAGAUGAGCCCAUGGCCCAUCAGCUAGUUGGUAGGGUAAAGGCCUACCAAGGCUACGACGGGUCGCUGGUCUGAGAGGACGACCAGCCACACUGGCACUGAGAUACGGGCCAGACUCCUACGGGAGGCAGCAGUGAGGAAUAUUGCGCAAUGGGGGAAACCCUGACGCAGCAACGCCGCGUGUGGGAAGAAGGCCUUCGGGUC
rnacentral:rRNA from 1 species